rnacentral:rRNA from 1 species
GACGAACGCUGGCGGCGUGCUUAACACAUGCAAGUCGAACGGUGAACGAGGGAGCUUGCUCCCUCCGGAUCAGUGGCGAACGGGUGAGUAACACGUGAGCAAUCUGCCCCGAACUCUGGGAUAAGCGUUGGAAACGACGUCUAAUACCGGAUACGACGCGGGAGGGCAUCCUCUCCGCGUGGAAAGAACUUCGGUUCGGGAUGAGCUCGCGGCCUAUCAGCUUGUCGGUGAGGUAACGGCUCACCAAGGCGACGACGGGUAGCCGGCCUGAGAGGGUGACCGGCCACACUGGGACUGAGACACGGCCCAGACUCCUACGGGAGGCAGCAGUGGGGAAUAUUGCAUAAUGGGCGCAAGCCUGAUGCAGCAACGCCGCGUGAGGGACGACGGCCUUCGGGUUGUAAACCUCUUUUAGCAGGGAAGAAGCGAAAGUGACGGUACCUGCAGAAAAAGCACCGGCUAACUACGUG